AGAACUACAGAAGCCAAAAGACUUUCCCAGAACUGUGGACUUUGAUGGACUGGGCCUUUGUCUCCAUUUUGGCAGGUGGUACUGCCUAUGUGCUGAGUUUUACAACGUGAAUGAUACUUCACUCAUGGAGUCGGCUGUGCUAAGGUCUGGGGGAGGGGCCAUACUUUACCUCACUUUCUUAUCUUCCACAGCAACCUUAAAAACUUGAUGGCAGCAGCAAGCAGUAGUUGUGUAAUUUGUUUUGGUUUUGAUUUUUAAGAUCUCUCUAUGUAGCUGUGUAUAGAUCAGGCUGGCCUGGAACACCUGCCUUGCCUCCCAAGUGUUAGGGCUAAAGGCAUGCAUCAAACCAGCCACACUGAUUCUUAAGUACUUUAUACAUACCUUUGGAUUUAUCCCCAGAGUGAUACUGGAAGUGAGAACUCUGGUUUAACCGUGUUCUCAGGUCCUACAAGAGAAACCAUGCUCAGAAGGUGAGAUUACUACCCAAGCACUCCAAGCACUCCAAGCACUCCGCGUGUAAUCACAGAGAUGGCACCGAAGUCAGAGUCCUGAGUCUUAACAUCACUGGAUAAUUAUUAUUGAUGUGUUGGGCAUCGUACACAGUGUUAUUGAGCUCAACUCGUGAGAGAAACUCUCCCAAGAACUGCUCGUAAGGUUCCUGCAGCAGCUUGCAACUUCAGCGGCCUCACCUUAGGCCUGUUGGUGAGCCUGGCAGUUUCUUCAGGAUCAAACGACUGCUGCCUGGUGUCUGCUUGCUGGAAGGACUGAACUGAAGCUGCUGGUUUGUGCCUGGUGUCUGCCUGCCUAGAGGACUGGUCUGCAACUGCUCGGUCGCAUUUGGUGUUUGCUAUGAGACUGAAGUGUGCCCAAGAAGAUGGAGCUUGCCUCCAAAGAGCUACUGCUGAGCAGAACCCCUUCCCCACAUCCUAAUAACUUUCUCUUCCACAACCUCUGCGGGGUGGUGGGCUAGGAGAGGUGGAACCCUUAUUAAAAGUAGGUUACAAAAAAUUUAUGUCUACACAGAGUAUU
rnacentral:lncRNA from 1 species